rnacentral:rRNA from 1 species
AUACGGAGGGUGCAAGCGUUAUUCGGAAUCACUGGGCGUAAAGGGUGCGUAGGCGGUUUGAUAAGUCUGAUGUGAAAUCCUAUGGCUCAACCAUAGAACUGCAUUGGAAACUGUCAGACUAGAAUACUGAAGGGGCAGGUGGAAUUAGUGGUGUAGGGGUAAAAUCCGUAGAUAUCACUAGGAAUACCGAAAGCGAAAGCGAUCUGCUGGGAAGUUAUUGACGCUGAGGCACGAAAGCGUGGGGAGCAAACGGGAUUAGAAACCCUAGUAGUCC